GCACGGCAUCUGGCCCUAAACGCCAACUCAAGAGGGCCCUGGUAGCAUCAGCUUCAACCCUGACCCUCCCUGGACGUGGAUGACUCUUUCCUUUCCCUCAUUUGCUGGGGCUGGAACCUUCAUAUUUCAGGAGAGUGUCUUAGUUCGUAUGUGUUGCUAUCGUGAAAUACCAUAGGCUGGGGGCCUUCUCAACAGCAGGCAUCUAUGUCUCAUGGUUCUGGAGGCUGGAAGUCCAAGGUUAAGGUGUGGCAGAUUCAGUGUCUGGUGGUCUAUGAACCAGUGGCUUCCUGAUCUAUAGACAGCGCCUUCUUGCUGUGUCUCACAUGGUGUUGGAAGGGGUGAGGGAGCUCUCUGGGGUCCAUUUUAUUUUAUUUUAUUUUGUUGUUGUUUUUGUUUUUUGAGAUGGAGUUGCACUCCAGCCUGGGCGACAGAGGAAGACUCUGUCUCAAAAAAAAAAAAAAGAAAACAGAAAGAAACAACAGAGAUCUGUUGCUCACAGCUCUGGAGGCUGGAAGUCCAAGAUCAAAGCAUGCCACAUUCAGCGUCUUACUGAGAACCCGCCUCCUGGUUCCUAGAUGGUGCCUUCUCACCAUGUCCUCACAUGGUAGAAGGGGCGAGAAAGCUCUCUGGGGUCUGUUGUAUGAGAUCGCUGAUCCCAUGCAUGAUGCUCCAUCUCCAUGACCUCAUCACCUGCCAAAGGUCCCAUCUCCUGACACCAUCACUUUGGGAGUGAGGAUUUCAACAUGGAAAUUUUAGGAGGAUACCAACAUUCACACAGGAGCAGAUAGGAAGCAGACCCUCUCUCCACUGGAAAGACCCCAAGUGGAUGAGUCUUAGGAUUUCAGAUGAGCAAGGCUGUGCUGGUGGCUCUCUGGCCACCCGGUCAUGCUGAAGUUGUCUGUGGCAACCAGAUC
rnacentral:lncRNA from 1 species